rnacentral:rRNA from 1 species
GAUGAACGCUGGCGGCGUGCCUCAAACAUGCAAGUCGAGCGGGGCUAUGUAAUAUCGCAAGGUAGAACAUAGCCUAGCGGCGAACGGGUGAGUAACACGUGGGUAACCUGCCUGGAAGACAGGGAUAACGAUUCGAAAGGGUCGCUAAUACCUGAUAAUAUCCUUUCAUCGCAUGGUGAUAGGAAGAAAGGGGAAACCCGCUUUCAGAUGGGCCCGCGUCCCAUCAGCUAGUUGGUAAGGUAAAGGCUUACCAAGGCGACGACGGGUAGCCGGUCUGAGAGGAUGUACGGCCACACUGGGACUGAGAUACGGCCCAGACUCCUACGGGAGGCAGCAGUUGGGAAUCUUAGGCAAUGGACGAAAGUCUGACCUAGCGACGCCGCGUGAGGGAAGAAGGCCUUCGGGUUGUAAACUCUGUCAUGGGGAAGAAGGAAGUGACGGUACCCAACGAGGAAGCCCUGCUAACUACGUG